rnacentral:rRNA from 1 species
GAAAGUUUGCGGCUCAACCGUAAAAUUGCAGUUGAUACUGGCGACCUUGAGUGCAACAGAGGUAGGCGGAAUUCGUGGUGUAGCGGUGAAAUGCUUAGAUAUCACGAAGAACUCCGAUUGCGAAGGCAGCUUACUGGAUUGUAACUGACGCUGAUGCUCGAAAGUGUGGGUAUCAAACAGGAUUAGAUACCCUGGUAGUCCACACAGUAAACGAUGAAUACUCGCUGUUGGCGAUAUACAGUCAGCGGCCAAGCGAAAGCAUUAAGUAUUCCACCUGGGGAGUACGCCGGCAACGGUGAAACUCAAAGGAAUUGACGGGGGCCCGCACAAGCGGAGGAACAUGUGGUUUAAUUCGAUGAUACGCGAGGAACCUUACCCGGGCUUAAAUUGCAACUGACGGAACCGGAAACGGUUCUUUCUUCGGACAGUUGUGAAGGUGCUGCAUGGUUGUCGUCAGCUCGUGCCGUGAGGUGUCGGCUUAAGUGCCAUAACGAGCGCAACCCUUACGGGUAGUUACCAUCAGGUUAUGCUGGGGACUCUACCCGGACUGCCGUCGUAAGAUGUGAGGAAGGUGGGGAUGACGUCAAAUCAGCACGGCCCUUACGUCCGGGGCUACACACGCGUUACAAUGGGGGGUACAGAAGGCAGCUACACGGCGACGUGGUGCUAAUCCCAAAAGCCUCUCUCAGUUCGGAUUGGAGUCUGCAACCCGACUCCAUGAAGCUGGAUUCGCUAGUAAUCGCGCAUCAGCCACGGCGCGGUGAAUACGUUCCCGGGCCUUGUACACACCGCCCGUCAAGCCAUGAAAGCCGGGGGUACCUGAAGUACGUAUCCGCGAGGAGCGUCCUAGGGUAAAACUGGUGAUUGGGGCUAA